GUGUAAAGCUUUAUGAUCAUUAGUAGUAUUCAAAUGCCAUGUUUGCUUAGUUUGUACAAGGUGGAGGAGGGAGAGAAAAAGCGACAAAGCUUGCAUAGAUCUAUUCAUCUAUAUAUAGGCUAUAUCAUCCAUGAGGCUGUGCAUGUACUGAAGUUUCCCAGUACUUGCAUACUGAACUACCAGUAGUACUACAUACUCCAUGCAGGACACAGAGAUGUCAAGCUACAGGAGAUAGAAGAGACUUGGAUGGUCAUAUUGAUUAGAGGUCAAAGAAUUCAAUUACUACCUCCACCCUUAACAUUUCUACAAUCAUUUACAUUUAAGAACAGAUCUAAUCUAUAUAUGUUAGAACUCAUAUAUCUCUUGGUCAUCUCAUCUCAACCUCUCUGCACGUGUUAUUAAUAACCUACUCAUAUAUAGUACAACAGGAGAGACUGUACGUCAGCGGUCAGCUGCUAGCCAUAUAUAUACUUUGGUAAUAGUAUAUAAUUAACUUUGCUUAGGGAAAGAAGGAGAAGAUGAAUUCUACACCACCACCUGCUGCACCACUGGCCAAGAGUCCAAGAGGACUAGCAAGACCUGCUUUACUGAUUGAUCUCUUUCAUCAAAAUGGACAUAAAGUUGAACACCCUGCAAAUACACUAGCUAGCUAGAAUGCCACCCCUAGACACCUGUAGCAGCUAGUAGCUCACAUCAUUUUGAUAACCUGUAAUUAACUAUCUCUAGUCUACUGAUCCCACUGUUUAACCCCUAGAUAGAUAUAUAUAGAGCUGUUUGAUAAUAAUUAACUAACCAGCCAAGCUAGAACAGCAAGCAAACAAAACCCAGCAGCCUUCCAAUACACAGUGCAUGCAGCUAGCAGCCAAGGUGAUAUAUACACCAACUCCUUCUCCUAGAAAUCUAGGGUUUUCAUCAGCUUUCUCCCUGCAUAAAACUCCAUCCCCUCUCUGAUCUCUCACUCUCCCUAACUAGCUAGCUGGCUGGGCUAGCCAUGCCACAUCCAUUAUAUAUAUAUCCAUGCAUCACACACACACAUAUGCUUAUGAGCUAAGGAAACAUCUCUCUUCACCACAUC
rnacentral:lncRNA from 1 species